UUGAACGCUGGCGGCAGGCCUAACACAUGCAAGUCGCGCGGAUGAAGGGAGCUUGCUCCUGGAUUCAGCGGCGGACGGGUGAGUAAUGCCUAGGAAUCUGCCUGGUAGUGGGGGAUAACGUCCGGAAACGGGCGCUAAUACCGCAUACGUCCUGAGGGAGAAAGUGGGGGAUCUUCGGACCUCACGCUAUCAGAUGAGCCUAGGUCGGAUUAGCUAGUUGGUGGGGUAAAGGCCUACCAAGGCGACGAUCCGUAACUGGUCUGAGAGGAUGAUCAGUCACACUGGAACUGAGACACGGUCCAGACUCCUACGGGAGGCAGCAGUGGGGAAUAUUGGACAAUGGGCGAAAGCCUGAUCCAGCCAUGCCGCGUGUGUGAAGAAGGUCUUCGGAUUGUAAAGCACUUUAAGUUGGGAGGAGGGGCAGUAAGUUAAUACCUUGCUGUUUUGACGUUACCAACAGAAUAAGCACCGGCUAACUUCGUG
rnacentral:rRNA from 1 species